UAGAUUCCUUCUCCUCUUCCUCUCUCUUCCCGGAAGUUUUGCCUAUCCUCUCCUGCCUAGCUAUUGGCCAUUCAGCUCUUUAUUAAACCAAUCAGAAGGUGCCUUAGGCAGAGAUGCAUCUUUACAGUGUAAGCAAAUAUUCCACAACAGAUUUCCUCUUCCUG